CCUACGGGAGGCAGCAGUGGGGAAUAUUGCACAAUGGGGGAAACCCUGAUGCAGCGACGCCGCGUGAAGGAAGAAGUAUUUCGGUAUGUACAGCUCUAUCAGCAGGGAAGAAAAUGACGGUUCCUGACUAAGAAGCCCCGCCUAACUACGUGCCAGCAGCCGCGGUCAUACGUAGGGGGCAAUCGUUAUCCGGAUUUACUGGGUGUAAAGGGAGCGUAGGCGGUGCAGCAAGUCAGAAGUGAACGCCCGGGGAUCAACCCCGGGACUGCUUUGGAAACUGGUGAGCUAGAUUGCAGGAGAGGUAAGUGGAAUGCCUAGUGUAGCGGUGAAAUGCGUAGAUAUUAGGAGGAACACCAGUGGCGAAGGCGGCUUACUGGACUGUAAAUGACGCUGAGGCUCGAAAGCGUGGGGAGCAAACAGGAUUAGAUACCCGAGUAGUC
rnacentral:rRNA from 1 species